GCGACCCCAGGUCAGGCGGGACUACCC
rnacentral:ncRNA from 18 species